GGCUCAGAUUGAACGCUGGCGGCAUGCCUUACACAUGCAAGUCGAACGGCAGCACGGACUUCGGGUCUGGUGGCGAGUGGCGAACGGGUGAGUAAUGCAUCGGAACGUGCCAUUGAGUGGGGGAUAACGUAGCGAAAGUUGCGCUAAUACCGCAUAUUCUGUGAGCAGGAAAGCAGGGGACCGCAAGGCCUUGCGCUCUUUGAGCGGCCGAUGUCAGAUUAGCUAGUUGGUGAGGUAAAGGCUUACCAAGGCGACGAUCUGUAGCGGGGUCUGAGAGGAUGAUCCGCCACACUGGAACUGAGACACGGUCCAGACUCCUACGGGAGGCAGCAGUGGGGAAUUUUGGACAAUGGGGGCAACCCUGAUCCAGCCAUGCCGCGUGAGUGAAGAAGGCCUUCGGGUUGUAAAGCUCUUUCGGCCGGGAAGAAAUCGCAUGGGCCAAUACCCUGUGUGGAUGACGGUACCGGAAUAAGAAGCACCGGCUAACUACGUG
rnacentral:rRNA from 1 species